ACACAAGUAUGGGUUUUAAUGCCAGUAAGUAUAUAUUUAAAGCUUGCAUUGGAACUUUAUUUCUGCACUUCACAUGGGAAACAAAAAAAGCCAUAAAGGGAAUAAAGACCUUCAUAAGGUUUGAUGAAGCUUCACAGAAGCCACAAAAGAACAAGCAUUGCACAAAGGUAAAAUCUUCAAGAAGAAUGGCUGACUAGUCUUGCAAGAAGGCAGUUAGCUGGGACACAUCUUGACUGGACUCCUCCACACAAGAACUGACACCCAUACAAAAUACCAAAAGAUGAACGGUAACUGUGAUCACAGACGAUAAAUUUUAGAACAAAAAUGCUGUGGAUAUAUUGAAGCAGAUUUCCCACUAAUGUCACCACAAAUCAUUGGCAUAAAUAAAGCAGCUGUGCCUUUUUACACACGCAGAGAAGGACUUCAGGGGCUGCGGCAGGGACUACAUUAAGUGGAGCUGUGCUGCUGGCAGUUUGGAAAAGGCUUCCCUUUGCCCAGGCUUCCCAUCUCUUGUCUGUUUGCUCUCCGCAGACAUGUGAGGGAUGGAGUCUGGCUUGCAUGAGUGCCUGUAGAAAACCCAUUUGAAGUUUGCACGCUUGAAUACUGCCAUAUAGCAGAAGUGCUGGGCUGAGAUGACAAAGCUCUACCAGAGUCUCAAGCUUCAACCUGCCUAAUGAGGGACAAAAUCUUUCAUCCACCACUGCUGCCACCAUUUCCCUUCAUUGUGUGCUCUGCAAUUAGUACAUUUAAAAGGGACACUGCUGAACACAGCACGGUCCCAGUUCCUCAGGACAUUUUCCUGGAGCACAGGCACCCGGGCAGUUGGAUGAGGGUCUGACUGUGCCAUUGGCAGACCAGCCUGUGGCUGCAGGUGCUGCUAUUUCAAGUGAAGGUAAUAAAAAGAAGAUUGCAUUUCAGCCCUGCUGAUACACAGAUCACAGUACAACCACUUUUCCAGGUCUGAAGCUUUGAGCAAACAUCCUCCAAUGGAAUAAAGCCUAUCAAAAGCAGCCCAAAGUGCUUUUCCCGAUGACAAAAUUUGCGCUGUU